rnacentral:rRNA from 1 species
GAUGAACGCUGGCGGCGUGCCUAAUACAUGCAAGUCGAGCGAACGGACGAGAAGCUUGCUUUUCUGAUGUUAGCGGCGGACGGGUGAGUAACACGUGGAUAACCUACCUAUAAGACUGGGAUAACUUCGGGAAACCGGAGCUAAUACCGGAUAAUAUUUUGAACCGCAUGGUUCAAAAGUGAAAGACGGUCUUGCUGUCACUUAUAGAUGGAUCCGCGCUGCAUUAGCUAGUUGGUAAGGUAACGGCUUACCAAGGCAACGAUGCAUAGCCGACCUGAGAGGGUGGUCGGCGACACGGGAAGUGAACCAGGGUCAAGACUACUACGGGAGGCAGCAGUAGGGAAUCGUCCGCAGUGGGCGAAAGCCUUACGGAGCAACGCGGCGUGAGUGAUGAAGGUCUUCGGAGCGUAAAACUCUGUUAUUAGGGAAGAACAUAUGUGUAAGGAACUGUGCACAGCUUGACGGUACCUAGUCAGAAAGCCACGGCUAACUACGUG